AGCGAACGCUGGCGGCAGGCUUAACACAUGCAAGUCGAGCGGGCAUCUUCGGAUGUCAGCGGCAGACUGGUGAGUAACACGUGGGAACUUACCCUUCGGUUCGGAACAACUCUGGGAAACUGGAGCUAAUACCGGAUACGCCCUUAUGGGGAAAGGUUUACUGCCGAAGGAUCGGCCCGCGUCUGAUUAGCUAGUUGGUGGGGUAACGGCCUACCAAGGCGACGAUCAGUAGCUGGUCUGAGAGGAUGAUCAGCCACACUGGGACUGAGACACGGCCCAGACUCCUACGGGAGGGAGCAGUGGGGAAUAUUGGACAAUGGGCGCAAGCCUGAUCCAGCCAUGCCGCGUGAGUGAUGAAGGCAUUAGGGUUGUAAAGCUCUUUUGUCCGGGACGAUAAUGACGGUACCGGAAGAAUAAGCCCCGGCUAACUUCGUG
rnacentral:rRNA from 1 species